rnacentral:rRNA from 1 species
GACGAACGCUGGCGGCGUGCCUAAUACAUGCAAGUAGAACGCUGAAGCUUGGUGCUUGCACCGAGCGGAUGAGUUGCGAACGGGUGAGUAACGCGUAGGUAACCUGCCUGGUAGCGGGGGAUAACUAUUGGAAACGAUAGCUAAUACCGCAUGAUAUUGAUUAUUGCAUGAUAGUCAAUUAAAAGGUGCAAUUGCAUCACUACCAGAUGGACCUGCGUUGUGUUAGCUAGUUGGUGAGGUAACGGCUCACCAAGGCAACGAUACAUAGCCGACCUGAGAGGGUGAUCGGCCACACUGGGACUGAGACACGGCCCAGACUCCUACGGGAGGCAGCAGUAGGGAAUCUUCGGCAAUGGACGGAAGUCUGACCGAGCAACGCCGCGUGAGUGAAGAAGGUUUUCGGAUCGUAAAGCUCUGUUGUAAGAGAAGAACGAGUGUGAGAGUGGAAAGUUCACACUGUGACGGUAUCUUACCAGAAAGGGACGGCUAACUACGUGCCAGCAGCCGCGGUAAUACGUAGGUCCCGAGCGUUGUCCGGAUUUAUUGGGCGUAAAGCGAGCGCAGGCGGUUAGAUAAGUCUGAAGUUAAAGGCUGUGGCUUAACCAUAGUACGCUUUGGAAACUGUUUAACUUGAGUGCAAGAGGGGAGAGUGGAAUUCCAUGUGUAGCGGUGAAAUGCGUAGAUAUAUGGAGGAACACCGGUGGCGAAAGCGGCUCUCUGGCUUGUAACUGACGCUGAGGCUCGAAAGCGUGGGGAGCAAACAGG